GAAGGCUGCUUUAUGAUGAUGAUGACUUUAUCAUUAAUGUGUUCCACCCUAACCCUGGACAACCGGAGCAAACGGAUGAACUGGAAGAAACGGCAGAACCUCAGCCGACUGCAGAACCUCGGCAAACAGAGGAGCCUGAGCUGGCAUCAUCUCCCCUGAGCUCACGUGUGCCAGCUCGAAGAACCACCCGAAGGGCCAAGCCAUUGUUGCGUCAGUAUCCCAAGGUCCUCCUGAGCCCGCUGAAACUCACAGCCAAGAAAAAAAGUGAGCAGGCAAGGCGGACGCUACGCUUCAAGACGAGGGUAGUCUUGUAGUUUAUUUCAUUUGUUUCAUUUGUUAUU